GAUGAACGCUGGCGGCGUGCCUAAUACAUGCCAGUCGAGCGAACGGACGAGAAGCUUGCUUCUCUGAUGUUUGCGGCGGACGGGUGAGUAACACGUGGAUAACCUACCUAUAAGACUGGGAUAACUUCGGGAAACCGGAGCUAAUACCGGAUAAUAUUUUGAACCGCAUGGUUCAAAAGUGAAAGACGGUCUUGCUGUCACUUAUAGAUGGAUCCGCGCUGCAUUAGCUAGUUGGUAAGGUAACGGCUUACCAAGGCAACGAUGCAUAGCCGACCUGAGAGGGUGAUCGGCCACACUGGAACUGAGACACGGUCCAGACUCCUACGGGAGGCAGCAGUAGGGAAUCUUCCGCAAUGGGCGAAAGCCUGACGGAGCAACGCCGCGUGAGUGAUGAAGGUCUUCGGAUCGUAAAACUCUGUUAUUAGGGAAGAACAUAUGUGUAAGUAACUGUGCACAUCUUGACGGUACCUAAUCAGAAAGCCACGGCUAACUACGUG
rnacentral:rRNA from 1 species